rnacentral:lncRNA from 1 species
CUGGCCAUCAAGAAGCUACCCUCUCCCCACCAGACAGAGCAGGAUGAGAGUUCUAUAAUCCUCAAUAGGAGGAAGCACUCAAUUGAACAAGUGCAGGAACCAGCUGGCUGCCUCAGCACUGACAGAAGCAAAUUCCAUUUGCUUGGACCCACUGCAUUCCAUCCCUUGUGGAAGAGAGCAUGUAAGCAAGACAGGACCUUCAGGCCUCUGAAAAAAAAAGGAUCAAAGAACUGAAACUCACCAGAUCACCUCACCAGAUGCUGGACCCCUCAUUCACCAUGUUUGCUUCCUUGCCUCUCCCUAGUUCUUAUUUUCUUACACAUUGUUACAUUUCUUCCCUGCUAUAUCAACCCCUAGUUCUAGUCAGUCAUGGAGAUGGAUUUGAGACUGAUCUCCCAUCCCCUCAGCUACACCACCUGAUUAAAGCCUUCUUCCUUGGCAAUAAUCAUUGUCUCAGUCAUUGGCUUUCUGUGCAGGGAGCAGCAGGACCUAGACUAAACCCCUGGUGUUUUGGUAACAAAAUAAGGCCAGGCACAGAAAGACAAACAUCACAUGUUCACACUUAUUUGUGGGAUCUAAAUACCAGAACAAUUGAACUCAUAGAGAUAGAGAGUAGAAGGAUUAUUACCAGAGGCUGGGAAGUGUGGUUGAAGGAGUUGGUGGGCAGUGGGGAUGUAGAAUGUGUCCAAAAAAAGGAAUAGAAUGAAGAAGUCCUAGUAUUUGAUAGCACAACAGGGUGACUAUAGUCAAUAAUCAUUUAACUGUACAUUUUAAAAUAACUUAAAAGGUGUAAUUGGGUUGUUUGUAACACAAAUGAUAAAUGCUUGAAGGAAUUGCUACUCCAUUUUCCAUGAUGUGAUUAUUGUGCAUUGCAUGCCUGUAUCAAAAUGCCUCAUGUACCUCAUAAAUAUAUAUACCUACUAUGUACCCACAAAAAUUUUUUAAGAAAA